rnacentral:rRNA from 1 species
GAUGAACGCUGGCGGCGUGCUUAAUACAUGUAAGUCGAACGGAUGAUUAGCAAUAAUUAUUAGUGGCGAACGGGUGAGUAACGCGUUGGUGACCUGCCCCGAAGUGGGGGAUACCAGUUCGAAAGGACUGCUAAUACCGCAUGAGUUCGUGCGAGGUGAGACAGCACGAGGAAAGCUACGUGAGUAGCGCUUUGGGAGGGACCUGCGUCCCAUCAGCUAGUUGGUAAGGUAACGGCUUACCAAGGCGACGACGGGUAGGGGGCCUGAGAGGGUGACCCCCCACACUGGCACUGAAACACGGGCCAGACACCUACGGGUGGCAGCAGUAGGGAAUAUUGCACAAUGGGCGAAAGCCCGAUGCAGCAACGCCGCGUGCACGAUGAAGGCCUCGGUUGUAAGUAGCUUUCUGCAGGAAGAGGAAGGACGUGUACUGUAGGAAUAAGGAAUCGGCUAACUACGUGCCAGCAGCCGCGGUAAAACGUAAGCGUG